UACGUAGGGGGCAAGCGUUGUCCGGAAUCAUUGGGCGUAAAGCGCGUGUAGGCGGCUUGGUAAGUCUGCUCUGAAAGCCCGGGGCUCAACCCCGGGAGGCGGGUGGAUACUGCUGAGCUCGAGUCCGGAAGAGGCGAGUGGAAUUCCUGGUGUAGCGGUGAAAUGCGCAGAGUAUCAGGAAGAACACCCGUGGCGAAGGCGGCUCUCUGGGACGGUACUGACGCUGAGACGCGAAAGCGUGGGGAGCGAACAGG
rnacentral:rRNA from 1 species